rnacentral:rRNA from 1 species
CUUAACACAUGCAAGUCGAGGGGCAGCAUGGUCUUAGCUUGCUAAGGCCGAUGGCGACCGGCGCACGGGUGAGUAACACGUAUCCAACCUGCCGUCUACUCUUGGACAGCCUUCUGAAAGGAAGAUUAAUACAAGAUGGCAUCAUGAGUCCGCAUGUUCACAUGAUUAAAGGUAUUCCGGUAGACGAUGGGGAUGCGUUCCAUUAGAUAGUAGGCGGGGUAACGGCCCACCUAGUCUUCGAUGGAUAGGGGUUCUGAGAGGAAGGUCCCCCACAUUGGAACUGAGACACGGUCCAAACUCCUACGGGAGGCAGCAGUGAGGAAUAUUGGUCAAUGGGCGAGAGCCUGAACCAGCCAAGUAGCGUGAAGGAUGACUGCCCUAUGGGUUGUAAACUUCUUUUAUAAAGGAAUAAAGUCGGGUAUGGAUACCCGUUUGCAUGUACUUUAUGAAUAAGGAUCGGCUAACUCCGUGCCAGCAGCCGCGGUAAUACGGAGGAUCCGAGCGUUAUCCGGAUUUAUUGGGUUUAAAGGGAGCGUAGAUGGAUGUUUAAGUCAGUUGUGAAAGUUUGCGGCUCAACCGUAAAAUUGCAGUUGAUACUGGAUAUCUUGAGUGCAGUUGAGGCAGGCGGAAUUCGUGGUGUAGCGGUGAAAUGCUUAGAUAUCACGAAGAACUCCGAUUGCGAAGGCAGCCUGCUAAGCUGCAACUGACAUUGAGGCUCGAAAGUGUGGGUAUCAAACAGGAUUAGAUACCCUGGUAGUCCACACGGUAAACGAUGAAUACUCGCUGUUUGCGAUAUACUGCAAGCGGCCAAGCGAAAGCGUUAAGUAUUCCACCUGGGGAGUACGCCGGCAACGGUGAAACUCAAAGGAAUUGACGGGGGCCCGCACAAGCGGAGGAACAUGUGGUUUAAUUCGAUGAUACGCGAGGAACCUUACCCGGGCUUAAAUUGCAGAUGAAUUACGGUGAAAGCCGUAAGCCGCAAGGCAUCUGUGAAGGUGCUGCAUGGUUGUCGUCAGCUCGUGCCGUGAGGUGUCGGCUUAAGUGCCAUAACGAGCGCAACCCUUGUUGUCAGUUACUAACAGGUUCUGCUGAGGACUCUGACAAGACUGCCAUCGUAAGAUGUGAGGAAGGUGGGGAUGACGUCAAAUCAGCACGGCCCUUACGUCCGGGGCUACACACGUGUUACAAUGGGGGGUACAGAGGGCCGCUACCACGCGAGUGGAUGCCAAUCCCCAAAACCUCUCUCAGUUCGGACUGGAGUCUGCAACCCGACUCCACGAAGCUGGAUUCGCUAGUAAUCGCGCAUCAGCCACGGCGCGGUGAAUACGUUCCCGGGCCUUGUACACACCGCCCGUCAAGCCAUGGGAGCCGGGGGUACCUGAAGUGCGUAACCGCGAGGAGCGCCCUAGGGUAAAACUGGUGACUGGGGCUAAGUC